rfam:Stegodyphus mimosarum contig63303, whole genome shotgun sequence.
AAAACAGCUCUUUUCAGAGCCACACACUCCCUGCAGUGAGUUGUGU